UGGCGGACGGGUGAGUAACGCGUAAAGAACUUGCCCUUUAGACUGGGAUAACAGAGGGAAGCUUCUGAUAAUACUGGAUAAGUUAGUAUAUCGCAUGAUAUGCAAAUGAAAGCUACGGCACUAAAGGAGAGCUUUGCGUCCUAUUAGCUAGUUGGUAAGGUAAGAGCUUACAAGGCGAUGAUAGGUAGCCGGCCUGAGAGGGUGGACGGCCACAAGGGGACUGAGAUACGGCCCUUACUCCUACGGGAGGCAGCAGGA
rnacentral:rRNA from 1 species